GGCCUAACACAUGCAAGCCGAGGGGUAAGUCUCUUUCGGGAGAACACGACCGGCGCACGGGUGAGUAACGCGUAUGCAACCUACCUUUGGCACGGGGACAGCCCGGGGAAACCCGGAUUAAUACCCGGUAUAGUCUGUUAUACACCUGUAUAAAAGACGAGAGCUACGGCGGCCAAAGAUGGGCAUGCGUGCCAUUAGUUAGUUGGUAGGGUAACGGCCUACCAAGGCAUCGAUGGCUACGGGGUCUAAAAGGAUGAGCCCGCACACUGGUACUGAGACACGGACCAGACUCCUACGGGAGGCAGCAGUGAGGAAUAUUGGUCAAUGGGUGGAAGCCUGAACCAGCCAUGCCGCGUGCAGGAAGACGGCCUUAUGGGUUGUAAAACUGCUUUUCUACGGGACGAACGGCUCUGACGUGUCAGAGAUUGACGGUACCGUAGGAAUAAGCAUCGGCUAACUCCGUGCCAGCAGCCGCGGUAAUACGGAGGAUGCGAGCGUUAUCCGGAUUUAUUAGGUUUAAAGGGUGCGUAGGCUGGGCAAUAAGUCAGUGGUGAAAGUCCGCGGCUCAACCGUGGGAUUGCCAUUGAAACUGUUGUUCUUGAGUACAGUCGAGGUAGGCGGAAUGUGUAAUGUAGCGGUGAAAUGCAUAGAUAUUACCCAGAACACCGAUUGCGUAGGCAGCUUACCAGCCUGGAACUGACGCUGAUGCACGAAAGCGUGGGGAGCGAACAGGAUUAGAUACCCCUGGUAGUCCACGCCGUAAACGAUGAUCACU
rnacentral:rRNA from 1 species